AUGUCGUCGGCGUCGCGUGGCUCAUCUGCUUCUCGCGGCGAAGGGAUUCGCCGGAGAGGCGCAGCAGCAAGGUCCCCGGUGCCCUAUCGGGAGGAGCCCAUGGAGUACGAGCCGGCGAUUUUUUGCCCCAAGUGCGGGAAGAAAGCGCCGCGGUGGAUUUCCUGGAGUCCGGCGAACCCUGGAAGAAGGUACUAUGCAUGCGUUGAAGCUCGGAUUGAACAGCACGGCUUCAUUCAGUGGCAUGAUGGGCCUACAACUGAAUUUUUGCGUCGAUUGCUGGGAGAUCUUCGAGAUAGAGUGUGGAGGCUGGAGGAGGAUGUUGAUGCACUGUUAAAUGAAGGAGAUUCACGAGCUGCUGCUUUAACCGAUGGAGUGAUUGGAGGAAAUGAAAAAAUUGCAUCAGUUAGUGAGAAAUGUGUUAGCAGAGAGAUGUUGUUGUAUGGCAUUGUGCUAUUUCUGUCUGGUAUGGUGUUAGGGAUGAUUUUAGGCUAG
rnacentral:rRNA from 1 species